AUGAUACAUAUUAAACAUGCCUUCUAUUCACUGUGCCAUCUUACAUCCGUAGGUGAUCAGAGGGGAAAAGAAGAGCUAGAGCAACUCCCACACUCAUGAGCGUCCUCAUACUGUUCUGGG
rnacentral:snRNA from 1 species